UGGUGCACUGGAUGGAAUGUCUUACUCU
rnacentral:piRNA from 1 species